AUAAUAAUCAACCUAAAUCUUCUAGAGUCUUCUUCUACACUGCCGACAAGUCUUGGAAUAAAUAAAAUGUGGUGUUUUCGAAGAUCUUUGAUUAAACAUUUUGGUCAUGAUAUUGAUGAUAGCUAAGCAUUUUAAUUAAACGAUAAACCUAAACGCGUCUUGAUGCAGUUCAGUUCACAUUGCACAUGUCACCCAGAAGAAUUGACUCUCAGAUCUUUCUAGGUGCUUGUGUUCACACUUCACCACGCUCUAUUAUUUUCUAAUACGAUUUUUAAAAAUCAAUUUGCUGAUGAUUUUCCAGUCCAGGAAAAAUAGUUAAUUGUUAACGUAGAAGUUACACCAGUCGAGUAUUGACUGGUUGGUGCGUGGGGAGAGGCAUAGAGGACCACGUUGUUGCUUGUUUGGCAAUUCUUCUACAAACCUUUGUCCUUUCUUCAUCCCUUCUUCGUUUGUCCUUUUCAUUCUUUACUUACCCAACUUAAAUUGAUGUUUAUUGUUUGAUUAAACACAAGAACGUGGACCUAUAGAUUGGUCACAAUUAGAGCACUGAUCAUCGACUACCAAUGAUGGAGCUGGAUUUUGGUUUCUAGAGUUACGUGAAACACAUUUUUUAUGUAAGAACACACUAACGUGCAAAUCUUAACAGUUAUUUUAUUGGCACCGAUGUCUGGAUAAAAUCCUGCUUUAUCUAAACACAAAAUAUUUUGUUAAACCCACCUCGAAUUGCAUUCGGGUUAUUUCUAAAAAUAAAGUGAUCACAUACUCAACGACUUUGUUUACAAUGGAAUCUAACAUGAAAUCUUUGUGAAUUUACCUAGAUCUUCAACCGUCAUAGAAUGAGUUAGUAGUAAAGUGGGCUUAAAUUUCAUAAGGUCAGAAACAACGAUAGUUUGAAAGCUAAAUAAUAUGUAUAAUUAUUUUUGUGAUUUAGAAACCAAAUAAUAUAUACAUUUCAAGGACUAGGAUAAAUACUUCUUAUGUCUUUCUCAUGAUCAGUUUAAUUAGCAUAUCUGAUUGACCUUUUCUUUAUCAUAUUUAAAAUAUGAAUGGAUCUUAGUAUUGCUUUUUGAGAUAAAACUUAGUAUUGGUUUUUCUACUUUUUGAAACAGUGUAAUUUUAGCUUAAUUUUGAGAAAAGUACUAAUAUUUUAAAACGGCAACACACAACAAAACAAAUCUUGAAAUAAAGAAUCAAUAAGUUACAUACUAAAUUGUGUAUUUUCAAAAACAAAUAAUGUUUCAUGCAACAUAUAUAUACAUAAGAUGGUUUGAUUGUAUAAAAAGUGAGGAUAGAUAAAGAAACGCACACGUUAUACUACCCAAGAAAGAUUCCAAUGGAAUCACAACCAAGGAAUGAAGAUGACGAGAUGUGGAGGAGGUGGUGAGUGGUUUAAAUUAUGAUUUACUUACUAAUUGUGAUGUAAAUUAUGAUGUUCUCAAAGAGAGUCGAUGUGGUUGUCAAUGCUUGGCUAAUGCCAUGACUAAACCAGAUAUCUUAAUCCCAAUUUGUGUCUAUUUUUAAGAGUCCCUUGGAUCUCCAUAUCUUUUUGGACGGCGGGACACCUAAUUAGGCAUCUCCAUCCAUUUUAUAUUCCAUUUAAUUAUGUUUUUUUUCUCCAAAACUUAUUACUUAUGAUCAUUAAUGUAAUAUUACUCCUGUCUCACGAUAUAAAAUAUUUAUGUAUUU
rnacentral:lncRNA from 1 species